CAAGUACUCCCUCCGUCCCAAAAUUCUUGUCUUAGAUUUGUCUAAAUAUGGAUGUAUCAAGUCACAUUUUAGUAUUAGAUACAUCCGUAUCUAGGCAAAUCUAAGACAAGAAUUUUGGGACGAAGGGAGUACGUA
rnacentral:pre_miRNA from 1 species